rnacentral:rRNA from 1 species
GGAACUGUGGGGACACGUAAGGAGAGCGGGAGCCGGGAAUGGAAAGCCCGGUACAAGCGAGGUACCAGUAUGGUAGGAAAAACCGCCAUGCAAUGGGAAGACGUGAUGUGGAGUGAAAUAUAGUAACGAAGCCCGUGAGCCAUGCGUCAAGAAAAGCCGCUAUUGUUUAUAUUGUACCCGUACCGUAAACCGACACAGGUGGAUGAGGAGAGAAUCCUAAGGCCGGCGGAAGAAGUAUUGCCAAGGAACUCGGCAAAAUGGCCCCGUAACUUAGGGAGAAGGGGUGCCUGCGAGAGCAGGCCGCAGAGAAUAGGCUCAAGCAACUGUUUAGCAAAAACACAGGUCUAUGCGAAACCGAAAGGUGAGGUAUAUGGGCUGACGCCUGCCCGGUGCUGGAAGGUUAAGAGGAGAGGUUAGACGUAAGUCGAAGCUUUGAAUUUAAGCCCCAGUAAACGGCGGCCGUAACAAUAACGGUCCUAAGGUAGCGAAAUUCCUUGUCGGGUAAGUUCCGACCCGCACGAAAGGCGUAAUGAUUUGAGCGCUGUCUCGGCAAUACAUCCGGUGAAAUUGAAGUGCCAGUGAAGAUGCUGGCUACCCGCGCCAGGACGGAAAGACCCCAUGGAGCUUUACUCCAGUUUGGCACUGGGGUCCGGUGUUGCAUGUAUAGGAUAGGUGGGAGGCUGAGAAACGGUAACGUCAGUUGCCGCGGAGCCGCUGUUGGGAUACCACCCUUGUGAUAUUGGGCUUCUAACCAGCCGCCGUAAACCGGCGGUGGGACAAUGCCAGGCGGGGAGUUUGACUGGGGCGGUCGCCUCCGAAAGGGUAUCGGAGGCGCCCAAAGGUUCCCUCAGAAUGGACGGAAACCAUUCGAAGAGUGCAAAGGCAGAAGGGAGCUUGACUGCGACACCGACGGGUGGAGCAGGUACGAAAGUAGGGCUUAGUGAUCCGGUGGUAUUAAGUGGGAAUGCCAUCGCUCAACGGAUAAAAGCUACCCUGGGAUAACAGGCUUAUCACUCCCAAGAGUUCACAUCGACGGAGUGGUUUGGCACCUCGAUGUCGGCUCAUCGCAUCCUGGGGCUGUAGUAGGUCCCAAGGGUUGGGCUGUUCGCCCAUUAAAGCGGUACGCGAGCUGGGUUCAGAACGUCGUGAGACAGUUCGGUCCCUAUCCGGCGUGGGCGCAGGAUAUCUGAGAGGAGCUGUCCUUAGUACGAGAGGACCGGGAUGGACGGACCGCUGGUGGACCGGUUGGCUUGCCAAAGCCAUGGCCGGGUAGCCAAGUCCGGAAGGGAUAAACGCUGAAGGCAUCUAAGCGUGAAGCCCCCCUCAAGAUGAGAUAUCCCAUUCUUAGUGAAGUAAACCCCCUUGAAGACGACGAGGUAGAUAGGGCAGAGGUGGAAGUGUGGUAACACAUGGAGCUGACUGUUACUAAUCGGGUGAGGGCUUGACCU